rnacentral:rRNA from 1 species
CGCCCUUAGAGUUUGAUCAUGGCUCAGAUUGAACGCUGGCGGCAGGCUUAACACAUGCAAGUCGAACGGUAUAGGUGCUUGCACCUGACGAGUGGCGGACGGGUGAGUAAUGUAUGGGGAUCUGCCGAAUGGAUUGGGACAACCACUGGAAACGGUGGCUAAUACCGAAUAAUGUUGAGAGACCAAAGUGUUUCGACAUGCCAUUUGAUGAACCCAUAUGGGAUUAGCUAGUAGGCGGGGUAAUGGCCCACCUAGGCGACGAUCUCUAGCUGGUCUGAGAGGAUGACCAGCCACACUGGGACUGAGACACGGCCCAGACUCCUACGGGAGGCAGCAGUGGGGAAUAUUGCACAAUGGGGGAAACCCUGAUGCAGCCAUGCCGCGUGUAUGAAGAAGGCCUUCGGGUUGUAAAGUACUUUCGGUAGUGAGGAAGGUUACUAUUAACAUAGUAAAUUGACGUUAUUACAGAAGAAGCACCGGCUAACUCCGUGCCAGCAGCCGCGGUAAUACGGAGGGUGCGAGCGUUAAUCGGAAUGACGGGCGUAAAGGGCAUG